rnacentral:rRNA from 1 species
CCUACGGGAGGCAGCAGUGAGGAAUAUUGGUCAAUGGACGAGAGUCUGAACCAGCCAAGUAGCAUGAAGGAUGACUGCCCUAUGGGUUGUAAACUUCUUUUAUAAAGGAAUAAAACGAGGCACGUGUGCCUUUUUGCAUGUACUUUAUGAAUAAGGAUCGGCUAACUCCGUGCCAGCAGCCGCGGUAAUACGGAGGAUCCGAGCGUUAUCCGGAUUUAGUGGGUUUAAAGGGAGCGUAGAUGGGUUGUUAAGUCAGUUGUGAAAGUUUGCGGCUCAACCGUAAAAUUGCAAUUGAUACUGGCAGUCUUGAGUACAGUUGAGGUAGGCGGAAUUCGUGGUGUAGCGGUGAAAUGCUUAGAUAUCACGAAGAACCCCGAUUGCGAAGGCAGCUUACUAAACUGUGACUGACAUUGAUGCGCGAAAGUGUGGGUAUCAAACAGGAUUAGAUACCCCUGUAGUC